AGAGUUUGAUCCUGGCUCAGGAUGAACGCUGGCGGCGUGCCUAACACAUGCAAGUCGAGCGAUUCUCUUCGGAGAAGAGCGGCGGACGGGUGAGUAACGCGUGGGUAACCUGCCCUGUACACACGGAUAACAUACCGAAAGGUAUGCUAAUACGGGAUAAUGUACUUUUGUCGCAUGGCAAAAGUAUCAAAGCUCUGGCGGUACAGGAUGGACCCGCGUCUGAUUAGCUAGUUGGAGAGGUAAUGGCUCACCAAGGCAACGAUCAGUAGCCGACCUGAGAGGGUGAUCGGCCACAUUGGAACUGAGACACGGUCCAAACUCCUACGGGAGGCAGCAGUGGGGAAUAUUGCACAAUGGGCGAAAGCCUGAUGCAGCAACGCCGCGUGAGCGAUGAAGGCCUUCGGGUCGUAAAGCUCUGUCCUCAAGGAAGAUAAUGACGGUACUUGAGGAGGAAGCCCCGGCUAACUACGUGCCAGCAGCCGCGGUAAUACGUAGGGGGCUAGCGUUAUCCGGAAUUACUGGGCGUAAAGGGUGCGUAGGUGGUUUUUUAAGUCAGAAGUGAAAGGCUACGGCUCAACCGUAGUAAGCUUUUGAAACUGAGAAACUUGAGUGCAGGAGAGGAGAGUAGAAUUCCUAGUGUAGCGGUGAAAUGCGUAGAUAUUAGGAGGAAUACCAGUUGCGAAGGCGGCUCUCUGGACUGUAACUGACACUGAGGCACGAAAGCGUGGGGAGCAAACAGGAUUAGAUACCUUGGUAGUCCACGCCGUAAACGAUGAGUACUAGGUGUCGGGGGUUACCCCCCUCGGUGCCGCAGCUAACGCAUUAAGUACUCCCCCUGGGAAGUACGCUCGCAAGAGUGAA
rnacentral:rRNA from 1 species